GGAGACAGCCACUCGGACGACAGAGCGCUCGGACGACUUUGUAAACAAGCCAUUUACCACUCUGUCGACAUUGUAAACAAACUAUAUAUAGCUAAUCCAUGACGUAGGCAGCUCUCAGCGCUCCAGAUGCGUGAUAAUUUUAUUUUUCGGAAAAGAUGUGAAAUGAUAUGAAUCUAUGGAUAUAGUUUAUACUUGUCUUCUGAAUUAUAAUUUCUCUGAACGUUGGACAACACAUCCAUAGGAGUUUAUUCAUGAAAUAAAUUUCCACACUUCUAUAGAAAAUCAAGUGACACGAGUUUUGUGAGAAAAUAGAAAAAUAGUUUGGAUUGAUAGAUUUUGGAACUGUAAUUUGGACAUAACGAGUAUAGGAACGGUUUACUAUUGGGAAAUCAGAUCAGGUACCAAGAUCAUGAGCUGGAAAAUAUAAAUUCAGCAUAACUUAAUACAUUUUCAUUUUAUUUUCAGGAAUAAGUCAAUGAUAUAUAAAAUUAAAAUCAGAAUAAUAGAUAUAUAUUUUUUCCUUCAAAAAUAAGUAAAAAUGUAGUAUGAAAAACAAUCAGAUAGAUUUUGUAUUUUCUCUUGAGUAAUAUUCAAAUACCAAGGCAUAAAAUUACAAUCAUCAAAAUUUGUAAGAAACAAAUUUAUGAAGAGUUCCAUAAUAGAAACGACAGAACAAAAAUUAUAUGCAAUAAUAUAAAAAUUCAAAGAAGGAAAUAAGGUAGUUUGUUUUCAGAUGUUCAUAUUUUUUUAUUAAAUCAAUAAGUCAAUGCAGUAUGUAAAAUUACAAUCAUCAAAAUUUGUAAGAAACAUGUAGUGAAAUUCUCAUAAUAUAAACGACAAAACAAAAAUUGUAUACAACAAUAAUAUAAAGAAUUGAAAAAAAGAAAUAGUUUGCUUUCAGAAGUUCAGCAUGUCAUCAUUUUACUUCUAAUGAAUUCUUGCAAAGUAGUGUGAAAUUACAAUCAUCAAAAUUUGAAAGAAACAUUCAGAAAAAGUUUCAUUAUAAAAAUGAAUAAAAACUACAAAACAAAAAUACAGUAAUAAUAAUAUUUAGAAAAUUCUAAAAAUAAUGAAUAGUUUAUUUUCAGGUGUGUGGUGUGUAUCAUGUCACAGUCCCAAAAUAUUUCCCUAAUAUCUUUUCAAAAUAUUUCCCAAAUGUUUAUCAACUUGGAUAAACAACAUUACUAUAAUCCAAUUGCAAUGUCAGAUAAAGAAUUCAUUUUUUCAUUAUUUAACCUGCAAACUUAGGUCAAGUGAUCAUAAUGCACAAUGGAUCUGAAGCCACAAGUGAAAUAGAAAAUGUAGUUGGACAUAUACAGUACGAGCAAUGAUUCAGUAAAUUGAUUCAGUAAAUGUACAUGGAUAUUUUCUUCAUGGUAUUUUUGAAUAGAGAAUUUUUCUCAAAAGAAUAUUAAUUUUUGAAAAACUUAUUCGUUUAAAAUAACUCAAUUUCUGUAUUUUUAUUUAUAUUUAAUAUUAUUGAUUACCUACUUAUUCCAUUAUCUCACAAAAGUAAUAAUCAGAAAAAAGUUUUUGGCCUACCGUAAUAUUUUUGCACAUUCUUAAAAAAAUGAUACCCCACUUCAUCAUAAUAUAAUGUGACGGGGUAAUAAAUAAUAUUUAAUGAUAUAUAAAUAGUAUUUAAUAAUCAAUAAAAAAUAUUAUUUAUAUAUAGACUAGUAGUAUCAAUAAAAAACUUUUAUGGAGAAACAACCAAAAUAAAUUCCUGUUGCCAUAUUUAUAAUAGAAAACAAUCAAAGCAAAA